rnacentral:rRNA from 1 species
UACGUAGGGGGCAAGCGUUGUUCGGAAUUAUUGGGCGUAAAGCGCUCGUAGGCGGGACUGGAAGUCCGUGUUGAAAGACCUCGGCUCAACUGAGGGACCGGCUCGGAUACUCUAGUUCUUGAGGCAAUCAGAGGGUGAUGGAAUUCCCGGCGUAGCGGUGAAAUGCGUAGAUAUCGGGAGGAACACCAGUGGCGAAGGCGAUCACCUGGGGUUGUU